rnacentral:rRNA from 1 species
CAGUCGCCACGGUAAAACGUAGGGUGCAAGCGUUAAUCGGAAUUACUGGGCGUAAAGCGUGCGCAGGCGGUUAUAUAAGACAGAUGUGAAAUCCCCGGGCUCAACCUGGGAACUGCAUUUGUGACUGUAUAGCUAGAGUACGGCAGAGGGGGAUGGAAUUCCGCGUGUAGCAGUGAAAUGCGUAGAUAUGCGGAGGAACACCGAUGGCGAAGGCAAUCCCCUGGGCCUGUACUGACGCUCAUGCACGAAAGCGUGGGGAGCAAACAGGAUUAGAUACCCCUGUAGUCCCUGUCUCUUAUAA